AUUUUUUUGAUGAUAAAUUAUAUUUAACUUCCAAUUAAAAAGAUUGAUAUUUCAAAAGAAAUA
rnacentral:tRNA from 1 species